UGUAAAUAGGUGUAUGACGCAUAUGGAAUUUUGAUUUCCUUGGAUUAAAGUUUAAUUCUUAAAUUUACAA
rnacentral:tRNA from 1 species